rnacentral:rRNA from 1 species
CUAUGCUGAGAUCUGAUAGCAAGCUGUACUUGUACAGCGAAGUGGUUGAUGCCAUGCUUCCAGGAAAAGUCUCUAAGCUUCAGUUACACAGGAAUCGUACCCGAAACCGACACAGGUGGUCAGGUCGAGUAGACCAAGGCGCUUGAGAGAACUCUGCUGAAGGAACUAGGCAAAAUGGUACCGUAACUUCGGGAGAAGGUACGCUGUUGUUGGUGAUGGAACUCGCUUCCUGAGCUGACGACAGCCGCAGAAACCAGGCCGCUGCAACUGUUUAUUAAAAACAUAGCACUCUGCAAACACGAAAGUGGACGUAUAGGGUGUGAUGCCUGCCCGGUGCUGGAAGGUUAAUUGAUGGGGUUAGCGUAAGCGAAGCUCUUGAUCGAAGCCCCAGUAAACGGCGGCCGUAACGAUAACGGUCCUAAGGUAGCGAAAUUCCUUGUCGGGUAAGUUCCGACCUGCACGAAUGGCGUAAUGAUGGCGGCGCUGUCUCCAGCAGAGGCUCAGUGAAAUCGAAAUCGCUGUGAAGAUGCAGUGUACCCGCGGCUAGACGGAAAGACCCCGUGAACCUUUACUGCAGCUUGACACUGAACUUUGACCUUACUUGUGUAGGAUAGGUGGGAGGCUUUGAAGCUGGAACGCUAGUUCCAGUGGAGCCGUCCUUGAAAUACCACCCUGGUAAUGUUGAGGUUCUAACUCUGUCCCGUGAUCCGGGACGAGGACCGUGUCUGGUGGGUAGUUUGACUGGGGCGGUCUCCUCCUAAAGAGUAACGGAGGAGUACGAAGGUGCGCUCAGCGUGGUCGGAAAUCACGCGUAGAGUAUAAAGGCAAAAGCGCGCUUAACUGCGAGACCCACAAGUCGAGCAGGUACGAAAGUAGGUCUUAGUGAUCCGGUGGUUCUGUAUGGAAGGGCCAUCGCUCAACGGAUAAAAGGUACUCUGGGGAUAACAGGCUGAUACCGCCCAAGAGUUCAUAUCGACGGCGGUGUUUGGCACCUCGAUGUCGGCUCAUCUCAUCCUGGGGCUGAAGCAGGUCCCAAGGGUAUGGCUGUUCGCCAUUUAAAGAGGUACGCGAGCUGGGUUUAGAACGUCGUGAGACAGUUCGGUCCCUAUCUACCGUGGGCGCUGGAAAUUUGAGAGGAUCUGCUCCUAGUACGAGAGGACCAGAGUGGACGAACCUCUGGUGUACCGGUUGUGACGCCAGUCGCAUCGCCGGGUAGCUAUGUUCGGAAGGGAUAACCGCUGAAAGCAUCUAAGCGGGAAGCCUACCUCAAGAUAAGAUUUCCCUAGGACUUUAUGUCCUCUAAAGAGCCGUUCGAGACUAGGACGUUGAUAGGUUGGAUGUGGAAGCAUAGUGAUAUGUGAAGCUGACCAAUACUAAUUGCUCGUGAGGCUUGACU